GGAUUUGAUCUGUUGUUGCCACACGUGAAAGUGAAAUGAAUCCAGCAGAACACUGGUUGCAACGGAUUUCGCCUAUUGUGAGAGCGGUAUGCAGUGACACCUGCCUUGAAAACAAACUCUAUACUUGGGCCCACCUCGGAUGAGAUAUAACCUCUCGCUUUGUGCACUGGAAUAAAGGACAAGUUUCUUCAUCAUGGAUUGUCAAGAAAAUGAGUACCAGGACCAAUGGGGGCACUGUGUCACCUGCCAGCAGUGUGGCCCUGGACAGGAGCUCUCCAAGACUAGACAACCACAGUUCAGAGAGUGUGUGCAACUUGUUCAGUGACCGUGAAUGCCGAAGAAAUACAUUUGGAGUC